rnacentral:rRNA from 1 species
GUCCACGCUGUAAACGAUGAGUGCUAGGUGUCGUGGGUAUUGACCCCCGCGGUGCCGCAGCUAACGCAUUAAGCACUCCGCCUGGGAAGUACGGUCGCAAGACUAAAACUCAAAGGAAUUGACGGGGGCCCCGCACAAGCGGUGGAGCAUGUGGUUUAAUUCUACGCAACGCGCAUAACCUUACCUGGGCUGGAAAGUGUUCGGAAGUCUUGUGAAAACGAGAUGUGCCCGCAAGGGAGCCGAGUGACAGGUGCUGCAUGGCUGUCGU